AGAGAGCAGUGAUGAUGACGACAUCUUGUCUUUUCCUGAUGAACCUGAUGGUUUUCAGUCACUACCUCAUCUGAGCUCA